UUGUCUUAGUCAAGUGGUCAUCACAACAGACUUCAAAUCUGUUUCUCAUGGACUGUGCAAGUUCGAAACUUGUUGAACAAC